CUGAAGAAUAAGCACCGGCUAACUACGUGCCAGCAGCCGCGGUAAUACGUAGGGUGCGAGCGUUAAUCGGAAUUACUGGGCGUAAAGCGGGCGCAGACGGUUACUUAAGCAGGAUGUGAAAUCCCCGGGCUCAACCCGGGAACUGCGUUCUGAACUGGGUGACUCGAGUGUGUCAGAGGGAGGUGGAAUUCCACGUGUAGCAGUGAAAUGCGUAGAGAUGUGGAGGAAUACCGAUGGCGAAGGCAGCCUCCUGGGAUAACACUGACGUUCAUGUCCGAAAGCGUGGGUAGCAAACAGGAUUAGAUACCCUGGUAGUCCACGCCCUAAACGAUGUCAAUUAGCUGUUGGGCAACUUGAUUGCUUGGUAGCGUAGCUAACGCGUGAAAUUGACCGCCUGGGGAGUACGGUCGCAAGAUUAAAACUCAAAGGAAUUGACGGGGACCCGCACAAGCGGUGGAUGAUGUGGAUUAAUUCGAUGCAACGCGAAGAACCUUACCUGGUUUUGACAUGUGCGGAAUCCUCCGGAGACGGAGGAGUGCCUUCGGGAGCCGUAACACAGGUGCUGCAUGGCUGUCGUCAGCUCGUGUCGUGAGAUGUUGGGUUAAGUCCCGCAACGAGCGCAACCCUUGUCAUUAGUUGCCAUCAUUCGGUUGGGCACUCUAAUGAGACUGCCGGUGACAAGCCGGAGGAAGGUGGGGAUGACGUCAAGUCCUCAUGGCCCUUAUGACCAGGGCUUCACACGUCAUACAAUGGUCGGUACAGAGGGUAGCCAAGCCGCGAGGCGGAGCCAAUCUCACAAAACCGAUCGUAGUCCGGAUUGCACUCUGCAACUCGAGUGCAUGAAGUCGGAAUCGCUAGUAAUCGCAGGUCAGCAUACUGCGGUGAAUACGUUCCCGGGUCUUGUACACACCGCCCGUCACACCAUGGGAGUGGGGGAUACCAGAAGUAGGUAGGGUAACCGCAAGGAGCCCGCUUACCACGGUAUGCUUCAUGACUGGGGUGAAGUCGUAACAAGGUAGCCGUAGGGGAACCUGCGGCUGGAUCACCUCCUUU
rnacentral:rRNA from 1 species